rnacentral:lncRNA from 1 species
CUCUGUUUCAGGCCUGCAAUAAACUAUGGUUGGAUGUUUCCACAUCUUCAAAACUGUGGUAACACUCUUCAAAAUCAUCAUUGGAUUUGAAAUGAAAAAGACCGAUGCAGACAUUUGAUGGAAGAAAAAUGCCUCAUUGUUACAGCUAUUGGAGCACCAUCUAAGGGCAGGAAUACAGAGAGACUCAUCUGACGCCCAGUCUCUGGUCCUGCUUGUCUUUCUCAUGACACCUGAUCUUUUGCCUUGUGUAACCAGCGUACCACAGUGUGGAUAUACUCACUUGUACGUAUUUCUUUAUUUUUAUUGUUUGUCUCUCUAACUCAAGAAUACAUUUUGUAAGUCAGCCG